rnacentral:ncRNA from 1 species
AUCUUAUUUCGAGAAGCUGAGGGAAUUGGCCCGACGAUGCUUCAGCAACCGACUAAUGAUAGCACGGUGCUACAACCAACGAGAAUCUCGAAUGAUAAGUA